rnacentral:rRNA from 1 species
UACGGGGGGGGCAAGCGUUGUUCGGAAUUACUGGGCGUAAAGGGUUCGUAGGUGGCCAACUAAGUCAGACGUGAAAUCCCUCAGCUUAACUGGGGAACUGCGUCUGAGACUGGAUGGCUCGAGUGCAGGAGAGGAACGCGGAAUUCCAGGUGUAGCGGUGAAAUGCGUAGAUAUCUGGAGGAACACCGGUGGCGAAGGCGGGUCUCUGGUCCACUUCUGACGCUGAGGCGCGAAAGCCAGGGGAGCAAACGGG